rnacentral:rRNA from 1 species
AAUAGAUACCCGGGUAGUCCACGCCGUAAACGAUGAGUGCUAAGUGUUAGAGGGUUUCCGCCCUUUAGUGCUGCAGCUAACGCAUUAAGCACUCCGCCUGGGGAGUACGGCCGCAAGGCUGAAACUCAAAGGAAUUGACGGGGGCCCGCACAAGCGGUGGAGCAUGUGGUUUAAUUCGAAGCAACGCGAAGAACCUUACCAGGUCUUGACAUCCUCUGCCAACCCUAGAGAUAGGACGUUCCCCUUCGGGGGACAGAGUGACAGGUGGUGCAUGGUUGUCGUCAGCUCGUGUCGUGAGAUGUUGGGUUAAGUCCCGCAACGAGCGCAACCCUUGAUCUUAGUUGCCAGCAUUCAGUUGGGCACUCUAAGGUGACUGCCGGUGACAAACCGGAGGAAGGUGGGGAUGACGUCAAAUCAUCAUGCCCCUUAUGACCUGGGCUACACACGUGCUACAAUGGAUGGUACAAAGAGCUGCGAACCCGCGAGGGUAAGCGAAUCUCAUAAAGCCAUUCUCAGUUCGGAUUGUAGG